UUAAGGAUGUCAGAGUUAUAUGAGUUUGUCUUAGAAGCAAAAUACAGGUUAAUACCUUCCUUAAU
rnacentral:tRNA from 1 species